CUCUGGUUGCCAUAGUAACCUUCCUUUUCAGCUUUGCCUCUCAUUUUCUUCGAUUCAUCUUCUGGGGAAAGAACAAGAAGAAAGAGGUCAUCAGAUCAGAAGCAGGGAGGCCACCCUCCCACUGAUCAGCUAUGUGAUCCUGGGGUUUUAUCCCAACUUGGGACAAAACUGGCCUCUGCCAUUUAUGAUCUUUGGAGUCUGAAAAAUGUUACAGCCUCUCUAAGCCUUGGUUUGCACAUCUCUGCAAGUGAAGAUAGCAUCACCAUCUCCAGCGUUGGUUGUGAAAUCAAGAGCAGAAUGUAGAAUGCCGAGCACACAUCCUCCGGAGAGGGAUGGAAAUUGGAGCAGCGUUGGCUCUGCCACAUUCUCGCUGAACCUCAGCCGCCUCCACAGAAGACAAAAGCAGAAUUUCCACACUCCAGGCUGUGUCUCAGAGACCAUUUAGAACUUAUCUCAUGCUGCCCUCAGUCUUAGUACCAAUCUGUCUAUGUUCAGCAGGAUAACUCAUCUGAGUGUGAGGACCUCUAGAGAAAAUAAAAUGACAGUUCGUCUCUCUCACAUACACACACAAAGCCCCUAUCUUAUACCAUAGACUUCAAAACCCAGAUCUGUAGUGUGGAAACUUCUUCCUCUUACUAAAGACAAGAGAAUUUGAGACAAAGUUUCGCCAUCAUGAGAACAUUAACUGAAAAGCAAUUAUCCAAAUCAGUGGCUCUGGAGAAAGGCAUACAGAAUUAAUUAGAAUCUCCUCUUCAAGUUAAAGAGACAGAGAGCCGCCCCCGGAGCUGUAGGAGCGUGGGCUCUGGGCUCAGUGGCCCCGUCUCUAAUCCCAGGCUCACGUUCACUAGCGGUGAGGGAUCGACCAAGUUGCUUAACCUCUUUCCCUCAGUUUCCCCAAAGUGGGAUGAAAUAGUGUAUAAGAAAAGUGAGUUACUAUACAUCACACACUCGGAACAUCCUGUGGUGAGUAGCAAGCUGUGAGUGUGAGUUGCUAUUGUCACCUUGAUCGUAACAGCACAGGUAUCUCAAAAUACUGGAACAACGAGGACUCACAGUGAGUCGAGACAGGUGUGAACAACUUGCCCUGCUGCCGGGACACGCCCUUAGGGGAGGAACAGAAUCACAUAGCUCUAUCUGGGGGGACCUGCCAAGAUUCAGGCCACACUGCACAUAUAUUGUCUGAACCAACAUCACAACCAACCUGUCAGGCAGGCAGUGUCCUCCCAUUAUCACCCAUCAAAUGAGUUAAGUAAUUGGCCCAAAACCACAUCGCUAGUAAAUGCUGGAGAGGGGAUUCAGACGCAAGUCCUCAUAGAAGCUAAAUGGAAAGGCUUAAUGAUUACUCCACAGUGAGGAUGAAUGCUUGCUCCAGGAGCCCGGCUCCCGGCGUCUUCCCACCCGUGUCACCGAGGGGACCUCAGCAGAGCAGAAGGCCUGUUUCAGAAGACUCCGUGACUGCUUCAUGGUCCAUAGCCCUAGCACCACAGUCCUCUCAAACAUGUAGCCCUCAUGCCUGGUCCUGGGUGUUUCUUUCUUUCUUUUGUUAUUAUGUUGCUUUAACCCCCAGUUCCCUCCCCUAUGAAAUGAGGACAGUGCUAUCUUCCUGCCCCUGUUCACCAAGGUUUUUGUGUGGACUGAAUCAGCUUCUUGGUCAGACACCUUUUUGUUGGUGGCGGUGGUAGGUUUUCGUUUGUUUGUGUUUUGUUUCAUUUUCCCCCAUAAAUCUCUUAAGAACCUCAUGUUCCAACUCUGCGAGCUCUUGGUGGGAAAGCCCUUUCGCAGGAGUUGCUCUGGGGCUGUUGGUAAUCCUAGAAAUUGCACAUGCAUCUACCAUCAGCGACCGAAUGGCUCCAUGCUGGAUCGAAGACUUACAUGCAUUCUCUGGUCUGGGGUCUCACUCCAUAAAUAAAACAAAAGGCAUAAUUAUGGUCACUUUUGCCACACUACGGAUCAAACUAGCUUUACCUCUGGAUUACGAGGAAAAAAGAAAACAUGCCCUCAGCCAGCACCCUCCCACACCCCAACUCCUCCCCAGUGAUUCAGCUCCAAAGGAGAAAAGUAAAGCUUUUUAAAAUUGAACAUGAACUCUUGAGAGUGGAGGCCUCAAACAAUUUAUUCACUGAAGCACGUGUCACCCAGGAAAAGUUUAAAUUUCCAGGGUUGUGGAGCAAUUUGUGCUGAAAAUCUGUGCUUAUGAGCAGGCUCUGAAGGCAAGAGCAUGGAGCUGAUCAGAGAGUCAGUGCUGCCUAAUCUUGACACCUUUCCUUCAGUCAAGGUCUUCUGUUUGGUUUUUCACCUUGAAACUUCCCACUAGCAAAUGCUUAAGGUACAGAGUGAGGGAGAGUUCUGGCGAGGUUGAUUUUCUUUUAUGUUCAGCUGGUCUGGAAUCUAUCUUUGGUGGAAUACAUUUCCAAGGUUUUCCUAACCAUUUUAGAAGACAUCCAUUCUGUUGUUUUUUCUGUUAGGAUUGAUUACUUAUCUUCUACUGUUAUUGUACUAAUCUUCCA
ensembl:lncRNA